rnacentral:rRNA from 1 species
GACGAACGCUGGCGGCGUGCUUAACACAUGCAAGUCGAACGGAAAGGCCCUGCUCUUGUUGGGUGCUCGAGUGGCGAACGGGUGAGUAACACGUGAGUAACCUGCACUUGACUUUCGGAUAACUUCAGGAAACUGGGGCUAAUACCCGAUAGGAGCUCCUGCUGCAUGGUGGGGGUUGGAAAGUUUCGGCGGUUGGGGAUGGACUCGCGGCUUAUCCGCUUGUUGGUCGGGUAGUGGCGUACGAAGGCUUUGACGGGUAGCCGGCCUGAGAGGGUGAACGGGGACAUGGGGACUGAGAUACGGACCAGAAUCGUACGGGAGGCAGUAGUGGGGAAUAUUGCACAAUGGGCGGAAGCCUGAUGCAGCAACGCUGCGUGCGGGAUGCCGGCUUUCGGGUUGUAAACCGCUUUCGCCGGUGACGAAGCGUGAGUGACGGUAAUGGGUAAAGAAGCACCGGCUAACUACGUG